UACGGAGGGUGCAAGCGUUAUCCGGAUUCACUGGGUUUAAAGGGUGCGUAGGCGGGCAAGUAAGUCCGUGGUGAAAUCUCUGAGCUUAACUCAGAAACUGCCGUGGAUACUAUUUGUCUUGAAUGUUGUGGAGGUAAGCGGAAUAUGUCAUGUAGCGGUGAAAUGCUUAGAUAUGACAUAGAACACCAAUUGCGAAGGCAGCUUACUACACAAAUAUUGACGCUGAGGCACGAAAGCGUGGGGAUCAAACAGG
rnacentral:rRNA from 1 species